rnacentral:rRNA from 1 species
UGGGGAAUCUUGCGCAAUGGCCUGACGGCUGACGCAGCGACGCCGCGUGCGGGAGGACGCCCCUCGGGGUGUAAACCGCUGUUGCCCGGGACGAACAGCCCCCUUCCGGGGGCCUGACGGUACCGGGUGAGGAAGCACCGGCUAACUCCGUGCCAGCAGCCGCGGUAAUACGGAGGGUGCGAGCGUUGUCCGGAAUCACUGGGCGUAAAGGGCGCGUAGGCGGCCCCGCUAAGGGCGCGGUGAAAGCCCGGGGCUCAACCCCGGGUCGGCCGUGCCGACUGGGGGGCUGGAGUGCUGUAGAGGCGGGCGGAAUUCCGGGUGUAGCGGUGGAAUGCGUAGAGAUCCGGAAGAACACCGGUGGCGAAGGCGGCCCGCUGGGCAGCGACUGACGCUGAGGCGCGACAGCGUGGGGAGCAAACAG